rnacentral:rRNA from 1 species
CCUACGGGGCGCAGCAGUGAGGAAUAUUGGUCAAUGGCCGGAAGGCUGAACCAGCCAAGUCGCGUGAGGGACGACUGCCCUAUGGGUUGUAAACCUCUUUUAUAAGGGAAGAAUAAAUGCUACGUGUAGCAUGAUGCCUGUACCUUAUGAAUAAGCAUCGGCUAACUCCGUGCCAGCAGCCGCGGUAAUACGGAGGAUGCGAGCGUUAUCCGGAUUUAUUGGGUUUAAAGGGUGCGUAGGCGGCAUUAUAAGUUAGUGGUAAAAUAUUGGGGCUUCACCUCACUACGCCAUUAAUACUGUAGAGC